rnacentral:rRNA from 1 species
GUCUAUGGCCACGCUACUCUGAACACGCCCAAUCCGUCUGAUCUCAGAAGUUAAGCAGGGUGAGGCCUGGUUAGUACCUGGAUGGGAGACCACCUAGGAAGACCAGGUGCUGUAGGUG